ensembl:snoRNA
AGCACUUGUGUGUGUUUUUGUUCAGCUAGUGGACAAAGGCAGCUUGGACAGGUGCUAAAUUAAAUCCUCUUUUGCAACCCAGAACUCAUUGUUCAGUAUGAGUUUUGAUACAUUCAAGAAGGAAUAUA